rnacentral:rRNA from 1 species
UACGGAGGGUGCAAGCGUUAUCCGGAUUCACUGGGUUUAAAGGGUGCGUAGGUGGGAAUGUAAGUCAGUGGUGAAAUCUCCGUGCUUAACAUGGAAACUGCCAUUGAUACUAUGUUUCUUGAAUUUUCUGGAGGUUCAGCGGAAUAUGUCAUGUAGCGGUGAAAUGCUUAGAUAAUGACAUAGAACACCAAUUGCGAAAGGCAGCUAGACUACAGGGACAU